rnacentral:rRNA from 1 species
ACGAACGCUGGCGGCGUGCUUAACACAUGCAAGUCGAACGGAAAGGCCCUGCUUUUGUGGGGUGCUCGAGUGGCGAACGGGUGAGUAACACGUGAGUAACCUGCCCUUGACUUUGGGAUGACUUCAGGAAACUGGGGCUAAUACCGGAUAGGAGCUCCUGCUGCAUGGUGGGGGUUGGAAAGUUUCGGCGGUUGGGGAUGGACUCGCGGCUUAUCAGCUUGUUGGUGGGGUAGUGGCUUACCAAGGCUUUGACGGGUAGCCGGCCUGAGAGGGUGACCGGCCACAUUGGGACUUGAGAUACGGCCCAGACUCCUACGGGAGGCAGCAGUGGGGAAUAUUGCACAAUGGGCGGAAGCCUGAUGCAGCAACGCCGCGUGCGGGAUGACGGCCUUCGGGUUGUAAACCGCUUUCGCCUGUGACGAAGCGUGAGUGACGGUAAUGGGUAAAGAAGCACCGGCUAACUACGUG